ensembl:snRNA U6 U6 spliceosomal RNA
UUAAUUUAAGAGCAAAUAUACUAAAACUGGAAGGAUACAGCAAAGAUUAGUAUAGCUUCUGUGCAAGGAUGGCAUGCAAGUUUAUGAAGUCCUCCAUAUUUUU